AUUGAACGCUGGCGGCAGGCCUAACACAUGCAAGUCGAACGGUAACAGGAAGAAGCUUGCUUCUUUGCGGACGAGUGGCGGACGGGUGAGAAAUGUCUGGGAAACUGCCUGCUGGAGGGGGAUAACUACUGGAAACGGUAGCUAAUACCGCAUAACGUCGCAAGACCAAAGAGGGGGGCCUUCGGGCCUCUUGCCAUCGGAUGUGCCCAGAUGGGAUUAGCUAGUAGGUGGGGUAACGGCUCACCUAGGCGACGAUCCCUAGCUGGUCUGAGAGGAUGACCAGCCACACUGGAACUGAGACACGGUCCAGACUCCUACGGGAGGCAGCAGUGGGGAAUAUUGCACAAUGGGCGCAAGCCUGAUGCAGCCAUGCCGCGUGUAUGAAGAAGGCCUUCGGGUUGUAAAGUACUUUCAGCGGGGAGGAAGGGAGUAAAGUUAAUACCUUUGCUCAUUGACGUUACCCGCAGAAGAAGCACCGGCUAACUCCGUG
rnacentral:rRNA from 1 species